UACGUAGGCAGCGAGCGUUGUUCGGAGUUACUGGGCGUAAAGAGUGCGUAGGUGGGAAUGUAAGUCAGUGGUGAAAUCUCCGUGCUUAACAUGGAAACUGCCAUUGAUACUAUGUUUCUUGAAUUUUCUGGAGGUCAGCGGAAUAUGUCAUGUAGCGGUGAAAUGCUUAGAUAUGACAUAGAACACCAAUUGCGAAGGCAGCUGACUACAGGGAUAUUGACACUGAGGCACGAAAGCGUGGGGAUCAAACAGG
rnacentral:rRNA from 1 species